GAACCCUUGGCACAGUGGUAGCGCGUGAGAUUCCAGAUCCUCAAGGUCGUCCGUUCAAUCCGGGCAGGGUUCA
rnacentral:tRNA from 3 species